rnacentral:rRNA from 1 species
GACGAACGCUGGCGGCGUGCUUAACACAUGCAAGUCGAACGGAAAGGCCCUGCUUUUGUGGGGUGCUCGAGUGGCGAACGGGUGAGUAACACGUGAGUAACCUGCCCUUGACUUUGGGAUAACUUCAGGAAACUGGGGCUAAUACCGGAUAGGAGCUCCUGCUGCAUGGUGGGGGUUGGAAAGUUUCGGCGGUUGGGGAUGGACUCGCGGCUUAUCAGCUUGUUGGUGGGGUAGUGGCUUACCAAGGCUUUGACGGGUAGCCGGCCUGAGAGGGUGACCGGCCACAUUGGGACUGAGAUACGGCCCAGACUCCUACGGGAGGCAGCAGUGGGGAAUAUUGCACAAUGGGCGGAAGCCUGAUGCAGCAACGCCGCGUGCGGGAUGACGGCCUUCGGGUUGUAAACCGCUUUCGCCUGUGACGAAGCGUGAGUGACGGUAAUGGGUAAAGAAGCACCGGCUAACUACGUGCCAGCAGCCGCGGUGAUACGUAGGGUGCGAGCGUUGUCCGGAUUUAUUGGGCGUAAAGGGCUCGUAGGUGGUUGAUCGCGUCGGAAGUGUAAUCUUGGGGCUUAACCCUGAGCGUGCUUUCGAUACGGGUUGACUUGAGGAAGGUAGGGGAGAGUGGAAUUCCUGGUGGAGCGGUGGAAUGCGCAGAUAUCAGGAGGAACACCAGUGGCGAAGGCGGUUCUCUGGGCCUUUCCUGACGCUGAGGAGCGAAAGCGUGGGGAGCGAACAGGCUUAGAUACCCUGGUAGUCCACGCUGUAAACGGUGGGUACUAGGUGUGGGGUCCAUUCCACGGGUUCCGUGCCGUAGCUAACGCUUUAAGUACCCCGCCUGGGGAGUACGGCCGCAAGGCUAAAACUCAAAGGAAUUGACGGGGCCCCGCACAAGCGGCGGAGCAUGCGGAUUAAUUCGAUGCAACGCGUAGAACCUUACCUGGGUUUGACAUGGAUCGGGAGCGCUCAGAGAUGGGUGUGCCUCUUUUGGGGUCGGUUCACAGGUGGUGCAUGGCUGUCGUCAGCUCGUGUCGUGAGAUGUUGGGUUAAGUCCCGCAACGAGCGCAACCCUUGUUCACUGUUGCCAGCACGUUAUGGUGGGGACUCAGUGGAGACCGCCGGGGUCAACUCGGAGGAAGGUGGGGAUGACGUCAAGUCAUCAUGCCCCUUAUGUCCAGGGCUUCACGCAUGCUACAAUGGCUGGUACAGAGAGUGGCGAGCCUGUGAGGGUGAGCGAAUCUCGGAAAGCCGGUCUCAGUUCGGAUUGGGGUCUGCAACUCGACCUCAUGAAGUCGGAGUCGCUAGUAAUCGCAGAUCAGCAACGCUGCGGUGAAUACGUUCCCGGG